AUUGAACGCUGGCGGCAGGCCUAACACAUGCAAGUCGAGCGCGCGGAGGACGGGUGAGUAAUGUAUGGGGACUGCCCGAUAGAGGGGGAUAACUACUGGAAACGGUAGCUAAUACCGCAUACUAUCGGAUAACCCAUAUGGGAUUAGCUAUUAGGUGAGGUAAUGGCUCACCUAGGCGACGAUCCCUAGCUGGUCUGAGAGUAUGAUCAGCACCACGUGGUCUGAGACACGGCCCAGACUCCUACGGAGUCAGCAGGGGGGAAUAUUGCAUAAUGGGCGCAAGCCUGAGGCAGCCUUGCCGGGUUUAUGAAGAGGGCCCUAGGGUUGUAAAGUACUUUCAGUCGGGAGGCGUGACCGACAGAAGAAGCACCGGCUAACUCAGUGCCAGCGCCGCGGUAAUAC
rnacentral:rRNA from 1 species